rnacentral:tRNA from 1 species
GGGCCCGUAGCGCAGCCUGGAUAGCGCGGCAUCCUCCUAAGAUGUAGGUCGUGGGUUCAAAUCCCACCGGGCCCG